UACAGAGGGUGCGAGCGUUAAUCGGAAUUACUGGGCGUAAAGCGUGCGUAGACGGUAGCGUAAGUCAGAUGUGAAAGCCCCGGGCUCAACCUGGGAACUGCAUUUGAGACUGCUCUGCUCGGGUGCGGAAGAGGGAGGCGGAAUUUCCGGUGUAGCGGUGAAAUGCGUAGAUAUCGGAAGGAACACCAGUGGCGAAAGCGGCUUCCUGGUCCGACACCGACGUUCAGGCACGAAAGCGUGGGGAGCAAACAGG
rnacentral:rRNA from 1 species